CUACGGGUGGCAGCAGUGGGGAAUUUUGCGCAAUGGGGGAAACCCUGACGCAGCAAUACCGCGUGAGUGAAGAAGGCCUUUGGGUCGUAAAGCUCUUUACUUGGGGAAGAUAGUGACGGUACCCAAGGAAUAAGCACCGGCUAACUCCGUGCCAGCAGCCGCGGUAAUACGGAGGGUGCAAGCGUUGUUCGGAUUUACUGGGCGUAAAGGGCACGUAGGCGGCACAGCAAGUUAAGGGUGAAAUCCCGGGGCUCAACUCCGGAACUGCUCUUAAAACUGCUGAGCUAGAGAUAGUCAGAGGCGGGUGGAAUUCCAGGUGUAGAGGUGAGAUUCGUAGAUAUCUGGAGGAACACCGGUGGCGAAGGCGGCCCGCUGGGGCUAUUCUGACGCUAAGGUGCGAAAGCGUGGGGAGCAAACGGGAUUAGAUACCCUUGUAGUC
rnacentral:rRNA from 1 species